UUAGUUUUGAGAGUCAUUUGGAUUGUUUGCUUGACACCAACGUGACUAAGCUCAGUUAAUUGCUGUAUCUUUGUUCCAGAAUUUUCUGCUAUCUUUAACCGGAAUUACGUCAAUAUGAUUAUUUUUGCUAUGCAGCUUUUUGCAGGAGCAAUUGAGAUGUAUAAUUGGCUCAGUACAGAAGAACCAGUUGUCGUGGUGAAUGACAGCAAAGAUGAGCAUCAUGCCGCUUCCAACAGCCCUGAAGAGCAGAACCUUCCAUCAACAUCCACAGCUGAUGCGGUUGUCAAAUCAGACACUGAAAAUUCUAACAAAACUGCACCUAAAACCAAUCAAAACAAUGGAUUUGGUGGAAUGAAGAAAGGGUUUCUUCUUUAAAAUUGAGGUCUGAUAGUUGAUUUAUAUAACGAACCAAGUUGCCAUAUGUGUAAGCAUGUAGAAUGAAGAGACAUUUCCUGUUCCUGUGAUUUGUUUGGGUAAACAGGGGCCAGUAGAUUGAAGCUACUCCAUGACAGGGCAUACCAAGUUUUGGUGUACAGGCGCCAGUAAAUUAAAGUUACUUCGCGACAGGGCUUGCCAAGUGGAACUGGUUAAUCUAGACUGUCAUUUUUCUACAAAG